rnacentral:lncRNA from 1 species
GUUAGUGGCUGGAGGGUGUGGGAGCUUGAUGCCUGGGGGCUUGAUUGGUGUUGGAUCUCCAUGCAAGACCCCACGGAGGUGUGCACUUUGGGGCCACACUGCUCUGCACGGGAUGGAGGUGAGGAUCCGCUCCCGGAGAGCGCCAAGGACGUGGGAAAGCCUCAGCAAGGGCACACAGCAGUCCGAGCCCUCCGCAGAGGCCCCGAGGAGGGGCGGGCGUCAGUCUGCGGGACCUCAUCACAAGAUCUGAGCGGUGGUCAGCUUCUGCAGCAGAGAGGGCAGUCAGGAAAUCUGCCUGCUUGGGGUUGCUGGGAAGCGUCUGGAUUUUUAGGCUUGGUGACCACAAAUCUGGGUUCGGGGGAGUGGCUGCACAGACCCCGUUCUGGACCUUUUCUGCCUCUGUAUUUGAAGCCCAGACCACGACGGGCUACCGGCUCUGUAUCUUCCAACAGCAAAUAAAUACGUUGAUUAGAGUCACAACUCUCGGGGAGGUUGACACAGACUAUAUUUGUG